rnacentral:rRNA from 1 species
GAGCUGCCCCAUACCACCCUGCAUCCCACUGCUGGCUUGCCUCUGAAGCUAAGCAGGGUUGGUCCUGGAUGGGAGACCAGAUGCUGUUGGAAGGGGUGUUUU